AGAGCUUUGUGACAAGAGAGUACUGUCCUUUCCUGUGUUUGUCCUUCUGUGGCUUGUCUCUUGUUCGGUUUCGGGACAGGGUCUUACUCUGUUGCAGAGGCUGACUUCCCACUCUCAAGCCACUCGAUUGGGCUUCCUAACUGCAGCAGUUACAGGUGAGCACCAUUGCGCCCAAUUUUAUUCUAUUCCUUUAAUUAUCUCCCCACCCCAGUUUUAAUUGUAUAUGUGUUUUGCCUACAUGUUUGUCUGUGUGCUUUGUGCCCACAGAGGCCAGAAGGGGGAGUCAAAUCCCCUAGGACUGGAUUUACAGCAGGUUAAGAGCCUCCAUGUGGGUGCUGAACACCAAACUCAAGUCCUCUGGGAGACUGUCAGCUCUCUCUCUGUCUGUGUGUGUGUGUGUGUGUGUGUGUGUGUGUGUGUGUGUCUGUCUGUCUGUCUGUCUCAUGCUUUAUUUGUUUUUAUUUUAUGUGAAUUGGUGUUUUUCCUGCGUGUGUCUGCGUGAGGGCGUUGGAGCUCCUGAAGCUGGAGAUACAGACAGUUGUGAGCCGCCUCAUGGGUGCUGGAGAUGGAACCCAGGUCCUCUGGAAGAACUCUGAACUGCUGUUCUCUGAACCGCUAAGCCAUCUCUCCAGACCCCCUCUUUUUUUUUUUUUUUAUUUUGAUGGUGUCUCCUGUGGAGCAGGCUGGCCUCUAGCUCCCUGUACAACUGACUGGUGAUGGUUUUGACCUUCGGAUUCUCCUGCCUGUGUCUCCAGAGGGCUGGGGUUACAGGCACGUGCCUCCAUGCUUGGAUUUUUUAGGGCUGAGAAUUGAACCCAGGGCUUCUUGUGUACUAGGUAAGUGUACUUUUGGCUGAGCUACACUCUCAGCCCCAGCCCCCUGCCCCCCGCCUUUUUUAGUAAAAUUAUUAUUAUGUGCCUGUGUGCUUUGCCUGUGUAUCACGUAUACACUUGGUACCGAAAAAAGUCAAAAGGGGGCGUCACAUCCCCUGAAACUGAAGUUGCAGACAGUUGUGAGCUGCCAUUUGGGUGCCAGGAAUCAAACCCAGAUCCUCUGGAAGAGCAAACAGUGCUCUUAACCACUGAGCCAUCUCUCUGCUUGGCCCUUCUUUCCUUUUCCUUUAAAACAAAACAAAACCAAACCACUUUUUUUUUCUUCUUUUUAAAACAUACACUGGUGUGUUGUUUGCAUGUAUAUCAGUGUGAGGGUCCCCUUGAACCGGAAUUACAGAGAGUUGUGAGUUGCUACAUGGGUGCUAGGAACUGAACCCAGGUCCUCUGGAAGAGCAGCAGCCAGUGCUCCUAACCACUGAACUCCAGCCCCCUUCUUUCUAUUUUUUUAAAGAGCAAUUUCUGAGACAAUAAAUACUACACACAAGUAGUAACUCGGAGAGUCAGGCCCUCCCUCCGGUCUUCAGACUCCAAAUGCCAUCCUUCCAAAAUUUUCUGGGCGACCUUUCAGAACCCCGAUGCUUAACUACCCACUCUCCAUGCCACCCCACCCUCCUCCCACACACAGAGUCCUGUGUGUAGGGAGGCACUAGGGCCACCCUCAAUGUCCUGUCACUCAGCUGCUCUCAUGUCAUUCAAACAUCCAAACUUCUGCCUUUGUAACCCCAGAGGCCUAUACGAGUCCAAACCUGCAACUUCCAGCAGCCACUUGGGUCUUCCGUUCCUAACCCCCAGUCCGGUUCAAAGAUGAGUGUCAGCUCUCUAUCCUAAGAGCAGCCUCCUCACCUGGACAUUCUCCCACCUCCUUUCUUCGCAGGAAGGUUCUGUCCAAACCCCACCCUCCACCCCCAUCCAGGUGAGUCUCUCCCCAAUAUCCUUCCCAAGGCGACAAAGCCCCUCACAGCAGUGAGAAGCCACAGAGUGACAGGCAGGCAGUGCUAGUCCUGGCCCAGGAGCCAGCAGCUGUGAGCAGCUAGCACUACGCCCUCUUCAAUAAUUCAUCUUCCAGCAGGCUGCAGGCACCAUGCCCUCAUUCUGAGCCAGAGAUGGCUGCCACAGCUCUGUGGGGUCGGAGAGCGAGGCUGAAAGGAGCGGAGAACUGGAGGAACAAGCCACCGGAGGUGCCCAACCUCCAAGCCCGUGUGCUGCACACGGCCCGCUAGUCCUUGUGAAAAGGGUUUCAGUCUGGGCUGAUACUUGGGGUCCAGACCCGGAAGGAUCUCAGAGAGCCACUGCGCUCAGCUCCCUGCCGAGCAUAUACCAGGCUCAGCCUCAUGCCCUGGCCGAGCCUCCGCAGGCUACCUUUCUAAUGAUGCCCACAGCCCUCUCUCUGUCCCCUGACACGUCUCAGCUGUCCCCGCCUCAGGAGUCCUGCUCUGUUGGAGCUCCCAUUACUUAGAAGUCCCCACAGCUCUUCUUGGCUCUGCCGGUCCACCCCCAUCUCUUCAGCCCCAGCCUCUCUGGCUAAGAGCUGAUGUUUAUAGAGCUUGGAGACUAAACUGUGGGGGUGGAGGACCUGAGCUGACCCCGUGUGUGGCAAGAGGAGGGAUUCAGGAUCGUUAAGUGUGAGGCGCGUGCAGAACAGUUCUUUGUCUAUAGUGUGGAGGGAUGGCGGUAAAGUCUAAGCCACAUCAGGGACUUGGCCUUCUCAGUGUCCCAUCCUUCGGGGGACAGCCUGAAUUCAGUUUCUAUGCUAGCCCUGUUCCUGCUGGAAUCCAUUCUUUACAACUGGCGUUAGAGGGGAAACUGAGAUGAAAGACUAAAGCAAACGCUUACAGGGCACCUAGUCUGCACCCGUACCAGCAGAAGCCAAGAAUUUCUGGCUACUCACUCUCCUCUUUCAAGUGAAGAGGGAUUCCUCAAAUGGUCAAAGCUGUCUGCCUCGGAGUGGGCAAGAAAGAGCUGGGUCUGAAAGCCAUAGUUGACUCCUCGCUCUCUCUCUGGGGGCCCGGCUUCCGGAGAGAAGGGUGCUAUCAUUCUGAGCACUGUCAGCAAGAAACCCUUCAGACAUAUUUAUAGCAAAUGCUGCAUCAGGGGAUGGAGCCUGAGAGAGCCUCAAAGCAUCAAAUAACGCUAUAGGCCAGGAAGAGAGUACUGAUUGCAGCAGGAGAGACUGAGGUUUGAUGUCAGAGGAACUUCCCAAAGUAAUAUUUGGAGUUGACAAUGGGAAUUCCCUGAAGAAGUUACUUCCAAAGAAUUUCCUCAGAGGGGAAAAAGCAUCAUGUUUUGGUCUAAUAAAUACAAUAAAUAAAUAAAAUUAAAUUU
rnacentral:lncRNA from 1 species